GAGCAGCUCUCUUCUCAACACCGUCAAAACACCAUCGAUCUCUCAUCAAAACACCAUGGGUCUCUCAGCAAAACACCAUAUGCCAUCAAAACACACUUCGAUUAAGGCUCGACUGUACUUAUCCAUCACUGUACUCAUUGAUUAGGGUUUCGAUCCAUCUGUGGGUUCUUCGUACUGGGGAGAAGAUAGAGGAAAAUUCGGGUUUAAAUCUAGACAUCGAAAUUCCAGAGUUGAAACUAGGGUCCAUUUGUGGGUUCUUCGAUUUGGGGGUUUCUCAACUAUUCGUGCUGGUUUGCCUUAUUUGCAGAGAAUCUGCAGUAGACCAUCUUCUCCAACCAUUCCAAGGCCUUCUCAUCACUACUUUCAACAAUUGGGAAUUUCGAGUUCAAGGAACUUACUUGUAGAGGAACCAGUUUCAUGUCCAUUGACUCCACUUUUGAUUACAGAAAUUGAGAAGAAAAUUGGGUUUUGUAGGGGAUGUGGGCAACGUCUACUUCAGGCCCAACCAUCCUAUGAAGCCACAUCGGCUAUGUACGACCCAUCACCUUGUGUUCUCAUAUGAUCUCCACAAGAAGACCCACAAGGCAUAUCUGGUGGAGUUGGAAGAAGCUGUAGACUCAGUUUGACUGGUGGAGUG